ensembl:lncRNA
CGCCCUCAGGCCUGGUCCCCAGGAGAGAGGAGGCGGGGCCUGAGCCUCCAUCCUGCAGGGCUCGGGCGCCUUCUCGCCAGAGGGCCCAGCACAAGGCAGAGCAGAGGAGACAGUUGGUCCCCCACUGGCCUGCCUGAGUCCUGGGUCAGGGGUGACUGGCUGAGACUUGGGGUCCCAGCUGGAGGAAUGGGGGACUGAGGUUACAGCACAGAGACUGACCUCAGGACCCGCUGGCCCAGCCCAGCUGAGGGAUCCCACCUGCCCCACCCACUCUACUACAGAGAGAAUCACCCCCCGAGGCCCCGCUGACCCUGCCCAGCCCCCUCGGGCAGGCACAGCACUGACCACCCGCUCCCUGUGCAGAGAUGGUCCUGGACGAGAGCUGUGCCGAGACCCAGGACGGGGAGCUGGACGGGCUGUGGACCACCAUUUCCAUCUUCAUCACGCUCUUCCUGCUCAGCGUGUGCUACAGCGCCACCGUCACCCUCUUCAAGGUGAAAUGGAUCUUCUCCUCGGUGGUAGAGCUGAAGCGGACGAUCGUCCCUGACUAUAUGAACAUGAUCGGGCAGGGGGCCUAGGGUCACUCACCUCGGCGGGCGUCCAAGGCCACCCCAGACGUUAGCCAGCGUCCAGGUCCAGCAGCUCAUGCUGUGCAGACCUGUUCCUCUGCCUUCAGACCUCACCAGACUCGGACCUACCACCCUCUGACCUUAUGGCCACCUUUGGCCUGCACCACACCCUCUGGCCUUGCAGCCACUGCACGCUACAUCCUGCCCCUUGACUGCCAGCGGAGAAUGGAGUGAACAGGAGUUGAAACCCAAGCACAGCUGAUGGACCACGACUGGCCCCUGCAUAGCAGCCACCACAAAAGGCCAGGGCCAUGUGGACGCUGAGGCCUUGGGUCCAAGUGUCCCUUACCAGGACGGACCCAGGGUUGCAGUGUCAGUCACCCUGGGGAAGGUGGAGGGCCAGCCUUCCUGUGGCUGUCUGGGCAGGGACAGGCCUUCCUGUGAAUCACAUCCCUGCUGGGCUCCUGGAUGCAGGAGGAAACACCUGGUUUCAGAUCCUUGAGUGGGAGCAUCUGCCACAAGGCCCGGAGGCCCCGGGGCCAUCGUCCACCAGCAGGGAAGCUUCUCGAUGUGCCCCUCACGGUCACUCGGAUCACCGUCACCUGAAGAGACUGCUAGGAGGAGGGCCUGCACCCAUGGCCAUGGCAGGAACCCUGGCAGGUGGGGGUAGCACCACUGGGGAGGGUCAGCCUCCAGCCAGACGGCCCCAUGGGGAGGGGCCCGAGUCCCCUUCCACAGGAACUCCAAGUUGCUCCACGGGGCAUGGGGAAGAGACAAGAACACCGAGGAGAGAGCCGGGGCCUCAGGUAGUCAAGGCAGGUGGACCCAACGAGACCCCGACCUCACCGCCCCAGGAACCAGUGCCCCCUCACGUCUCUGAGCAAAGGGCAAGUCAGCAUCUCUGGACGGGGAGGACACGGCUGCCCACGGGAAGCAGAGGCGGCCCCGCCCCGCCUGCCAGGGCCCUGCACAGACAGACGGCUCAAAGGAAAGCCCACAGUGGGAGCUUGGGUAGCUUUUCGCCUUCUUGAAGUUUCUGUAGCCCAUCGAUUGCCUUUACAGUUUCUUUUUCUAAAACAACAAUAAAAUAUCCUGG